UAAAAAAAAUUGUUAAGCUGCGAACCUGGUCGCUCGCGAAUCCUCACGAGCCCGCUCGUCCCCUUCGCCUCCGCCCGCUGCCUCUUCUCUGCCCCUGCCGCGGCAUGCCGUGCACGAUGCUCCGCUGCAUGCCCCACUCCCUCCGCGGCGCCCUCGUCUCCUCCGUCUCCACGCACCACGGCAGGGCAUAAAUCCCGAACCUCAGCCACUCGCCUCCACUCCACAGGCCCUCCUUCCUCAAUGGCGUUGUUACGCCUCCAUUGCUUCCUCCUCCUUGGCCCCGCCGCCGCCGCCUCCUACUCCUCCUCCAUCGCCGCCUCGGAAUCCGUCGCAGCCUGGCGGAGGCGGUCCCAGCGUCUCGUCUCUGAACCCCGCGGAGGUCCAAGUUCGCCGCCAUCGCUGAGACCUGGUGAGAGCGAGAUCCCUUCUGCCUCUCGCCCGAUGCAGAUAUUGUGGAGGUGUGAGCUGGAAAGCGGGUGCGCGCCGAAACAGGCAGCUUAGAGGCCCAGUGCGGACUCCAAGAGAUCCAUAGACGCCCUGGCGGCGAACGGAAGCGGCACACCUCUGACCUCUCCCGCCCAGGACCCGCUCGACGGAAUGCCAUACCCGCAGGUAAACCGGCUCUCUGAGUCCUAAGCGUGAAUGUGGUUUAGCAAAUGCCAAUAUCUGCAAGGCAAGGUCUUUGGCUUGGAAGAAUCAGUUAUUGAGCAACGCCACUGCUUCCUGCUCUAUGCUUGACCGAGUGAAGAGAAGAGGAAUAGAGAGACAGCAGGCAACGGAGACAACUUGUUAAGGCCUUCCUGAUGCAGCCUUUGUCACUUAAGCCAGGGCACGUAUUGCUAUACUUAGAAUAUGCACAGCUUAUCGCUUGUCAGACAUAUUCUACCAUUGAUUAUCCAUUAUCUUUCUCGAAAAAUGAAUGUCCAGUUGCAUCCAGUUGCAUUAGUUUAGAAAUGAAGAGCGUUGUGGAGCUUACAAUAUUACCUCACUAAUAUUACUUCAGUCAGCAGAAUGAGGAUAUUGCUCUGUAGAGCGUUCUGGGCGUUGUCAGCGGAUAUUAGUGGAUUUGUUCUUCCCCUCCUUUCUUCAUCUAUGCAUUGCCGAUAGUCUUUCAACGGAUAUGAUGCGUCGUGGUUUGUUCAUGAUGCUGGAUGUUGUGGCUUUUCCAGUAUUUUGGAAUUCCUUGCUGGGGUGGGAGGUGGAGCAGUCCAGGCUCUGCCGAUGAAGAUGAAGAUUGGAGCAUCCAUGGUUGUAUGAGUAAAAAAUCUUUGUACCAUGGUGGUUCCUGCAAUUUAGUGGAGAUACCAUGUGCUCCAUUUUAGUACAUUCUUCUUUCAAAAGAAAGAUAAAUGGUCAAAAUACCUCUAACAUAGUAACAUUAGCUAAAACCGUAGAAAGGCGCAGCAAAGCCGCGUCAUAGUUCUGCCAUCUUCCUGAAGGUACACUGCCUACUUGCUGCUUGCAUAUCUGUUUCUGUUACUCAUUUAAACAGGUGCAGCACCACGGUGAAGUUAAAUUCCAAUAGCUCAAUAGAGAUCAUCACAUUUUUUCUUCCCUGGCUGCUAAUUCGAAUGCUUUGCUCUGACAACAUCUUUGGACUUUCCUAUUUACCUGCAAGGUUAAAUAUCGCUGGCUCUAUGAUCAAAGAUUUGCUUGUUUCCAUGGAUGCUCAUAGACUUCUUCAGACUCCACAUUUUCAUAGUUGUUUAGAUUUCUUUCUCCUUUGUAAGGCAAAGUGCAACCUACCAGAAUAAGAAUUGCAUCGUCCCAUUGCAUGCAUCGUAUAACAUAUUAUCUAAAUUAUUGAUAUAGCAGAGUAAGAUAUUUUACUAUAUAUUCGUUUUGCAAUGAUCAAACAAGCAAUGCUUUAAAUGCAGAUGUGGGAAGGAUUGAAUUGGAGAGAUGUACUGAAUUAACAAGCUUUGCUUUUGACCUCCUAUAUGAACAAUGUGCCUUAGGCCUAGGCAUUAAGGCACAACCAUUUUGAAGGACCAAAAAGGAUGAUGAAAAGAAUGAUCUGGAGACAUGAAUCUUUUUGAGAUAGGCAGUGAAUGAGAAAGUCUGAAAAUUUCUAACAUCACCAGGAGGCUCAUACUUGUAGUUCUACACAUGGAGAAAUUAUCACAAUUUUAGUGGAGAUGCGUGCUUUUACAAGUUGGGGUCUAAUAACACUAUAACAGUCUGCAAUUGUUCCCUAGGUCGGUAGCUCAAAGAUGGCGCGGAUUUUCUAGUGAUCAGUAAUUCAGCGAUGUGUAUUCGUUGUGCCGCAGGACAUUGUUAAUCGAUUGAUUGCACACUGGUUAGGGUUAGCGAUAUGUAAUGUUG